rnacentral:rRNA from 1 species
AGUGAACGCUGGCGGCGUGCUUAACACAUGCAGGUCGAACGAGAACGGAAUAUAGCUUGCUAUAUUUGUCAGCUAAGUGGCGCACGGGUGAGUAAUGUAUAGAUAACCUGCCCUUAAGAAAGGAAUAACAGUUGGAAACGACUGCUAAUGCCCUAUAUGCCUUUAAUACAUAAGUAUGCAAGGGAAACGCUUUAGUGCUUAAGGAUGGGUCUGUAUGGUAUCAGCUUGUUGGUGAGGUAAUGGCUCACCAAGGCUAUGACGCCUAACUGGUUUGAGAGGAUGAUCAGUCACACUGGAACUGAGACACGGUCCAGACUCCUACGGGAGGCAGCAGUGGGGAAUAUUGCACAAUGGACGAAAGUCUGAUGCAGCAACGCCGCGUGGAGGAUGACACAUUUCGGUGCGUAAACUCCUUUUAUAUAGGAAGAUAAUGACGGUACUGUAUGAAUAAGCACCGGCUAACUCCGUGCCAGCAGCCGCAGUAA